ACGAACGCUGGCGGUAUGCUUAACACAUGCAAGUCGAACGGGUAUAGCAAUAUAUCAGUGGCAAACGGGUGAGUAAUGCAAAGGAAUCUACCUAGCAGUAAGGGAUAACUUUGGGAAACCAAAGCUAAUACCAUAUAUUACCCUCAGAGUAAAAUUUGAGGGGAAAGAUUUAUCGCUGUUAGAUGAGCCUUUGUCGGAUUAGCUAGUUGGUAGGGUAAUGGCCUACCAAGGUGAUGAUCCGUAGCUGGUCUGAGAGGAUGAUCAGCCACACUGGAACUGAGACACGGUCCAGACUCCUACGGGAGGCAGCAGUGGGGAAUAUUGGACAAUGGGCGCAAGCCUGAUCCAGCAAUACCGCGUGAAUGAUGAAGGUCUUCGGAUUGUAAAGUUCUUUUAGUGGAGAAGAUAAUGACGGUAUCCACAGAAAAAGCACCGGCUAACUUCGU
rnacentral:rRNA from 1 species